CUGGAGCGGAGGAAGUCACCAUGGAAACGGGGCGGCAGCUCAACUGUCAAGCAACAACUUCGUCUUUCACUGUUGUUUUUACUAAUUUCAGAAAUGGUUUAGUGUCUUCGGGAAAAAGUCCGUUAGCAUCUCAACCGUAAGCUAACUAUAAGAGAAGCGUCAGAAAAAAACCCUCUAUUACACAGGAGAAGUUCCUGAUUUUAACAUUUCUGAAGGGAGCUGCUGACACAGAAAUAGAAAACACAGGUGAUCUGAUAUCGCCUAUAUCACCAAGCAUCUAUUCUUCCAUGCUGACGGCCGUGCACAAGAGUUGGAGCGUAUCUCCUGUCGAAGAACAUCUCUAGACAUUAUGAACCAUCUGUCUAUUUGGUUUAGCUCCAACCCCAAUUAAGCAGACCUGAGAAGCUGAUCAAGGAUCACCAGAAACUCUGCAGAAGGCUGGUCCUCCAUGCCCAGGACUGGACACCAGUGUUAAUUGGCCCAGACUUCUGCAGUGUCAAGUGAAGGAAGCUCCUCUCAUAAGAUUGCAGACUGGGAGUCUGAUGACACUGAGCGAGAGUGAUGGAAGCCCUUCAAGAAAGGAGCAAAAUGCUGAAGAUGAAGCCAGAAUUAAGCCAAGUUCCUGGCUUUUCCCAAGACCUUCAAGGACCUGAUUGACCUCGGAAUCAGCUGUAAAGGAGGAUGAAACCGAUGUCUAAGAAUGGGACAGCGAUAUUGCAUCAGUUUGUCUCCUUCAUUUAAUUCCAUCACCACAAGGCUGCAAGGGACCUGGAGAAAUGUCCUCCUAUCAAGCUGAAAAACAUCUUCAAAAAGAAGAAUACCUUGUAGAGACCACACAGCCAUACCUGCUCGCUGAUGGGACAACGAGGAACAGCGUUCAUGGAUGCUACACAACUGUCGACAAGUAUCUUGCUGCAAUCUUGUUCAAAUCUACCUGUCAUAUGUUAAUGUCUAGGUAAAUUUGAUGAUUUUAUGUGUUUUAUUAACUAUUUUAUGUUUCCGUGCAACACAUCUGGUAUAUGCUUUAAAAUUGCCAC